rnacentral:rRNA from 2 species
ACUUAAAUUGAAGAGUUUGAUCAUGGCUCAGAUUGAACGCUGGCGGCAGGCCUAACACAUGCAAGUCGAACGGUAGCAC